UAUUAUGGUAGGAGAAAAUCUGAAACGACUGAACCAAAGAUCCAAAAUUGACGAGAACUGUUACCAAUCAAGAACCCAACAUCUGCAACAAAAUUUGGGGGCCAGUAUGUAGGGUGAUGCAUGUCGAGCCGUGCAUAAGUUUGUGCUUUGGGGCCCCAGGCUAGAGCGGCAAGCUUCCUAAGUUGAAAUCUCGGAGGAGCCUGCUUAAUCGGCUUCAUAGAUAGGUCGAUAUCAAGCUUGUGAGUAGCAACUUUGGGAUCUAACCCAGACAUUUGAUCUAACUCAGACAUUUUAACUUUUUUCUUCACAGAUUUGUUAUAGAUAACCUUCUCGAAGGUGAGGAACACUUUUAUCAGAGAAUCACAAUUCUCAACAACCAUAUUGAGCAACUAAUAGACAUUUCUGCAUAUGAAGUUAAACAAAUUAUGGAGAAGAUUGAAACAACAAAGCGUUGCAUGUGUUUUGACUGAUGAGAGCACUACAUGAACUAAGAUUUACCUUUGACAUUCUCUCUCUCUCU